CAGCAAGAUUUUGGCUAGAAGGCAUCUUGAGGUCUGCAUUUCCACCAUCUACUCAAGGCAGUGUUAGCUUCUAGUGUUUCUCAGUGCCGUAACUAUCGCACCAUCUGCUGAAGAGUAGUUUUGGUGUAAGCCCAGGUAGACAAAAAAUGAGCUGGCUGCUCAGAACAUGCAGUGAGAGGAAAUUUGGUGUAAGGGAGAUACUAACAAAGACUCAGUCAAACUGAGAUGGAGAAGUAUCAAAAUUUUCCCUUCUGUG